rnacentral:rRNA from 1 species
UACGAAGGGUGCAAACGUUGCUCGGAAUUAUUGGGCGUAAAGCGCACGUAGGCGGCUUAGCAAGUCGGAAGUGAAAUCCCUCGGCUCAACCAAGGAAGUGCUUUCGAAACUGCUGAGCUUGAGUACUUAAGAGGAUCGCGGAAUUCCCGGUGUAGAGGUGAAAUUCGUAGAUAUCGGGAGGAACACCAGUGGCGAAGGCGGCGAUCUGGGAAGAUACUGACGCUGAGGUGCGAAAGCGUGGGGAGCAAACAGGG